rnacentral:rRNA from 1 species
GACAGAGGCCACGAACGUUGUUCGGAAUCACUGGGCAUAAAGCGCACGUAGGCGGCUAGGUCCGUCCGAAUGUGGAAAGCCCCCCGGCUCAACCGGGAAUUGCAUCGGAUACAGCCUGGCUUGAGGACGGUUGGGGUGAGUGGAACUCCUGGUGGAGCGGUGAAAUGCGUAGAUAUCAGGAGGAACACCGGUGGCGAAAGCGGCUCACUGGACCGUUUCUGACGCUGAGGUGCGAAAGCUAGGGGAGCAAACGGG